CCCGAGCCCCCACCAGGCCAACUCGCCCAGUUUAUAUAUUGGGCAUGACAUCACAUGGUAUGGAACAUUCCUUUGGCCAGUUGGGAUCAGCUGCCCUGGCUGUGUCCCCUCCCAACUUCUUGUGCCCCUCCAGCCUUCUUGCUGGCUGGGCAUGAGAAGCUGAAAAAUCCUUGACUUAGUCUAAACACUACUUAGCAACAACUGAAAACAUCAGUGUGUUAUCGACGUUAUUCUUAUACUGAAUCCAAUACAUAACACUGUACCAGCUACUACAAAGAAAAUUAACUCUAUCCCGGCUGAAACCAGGAUGGCAAACGUGACAAAUACAGGUG